UGUAUAUAUAAAUAUGCGUAGAUGAGUUAAUUUUACUCAGUCGGUGACUUAAUAAUUGGAGAACAAUUUCUAUUGGCAAAUAAGUAAUUUUUACUAUAAAAUUAAAUUGUUUACAAUAAUAAAAAGCAUAAUGAGUGGCGGCAGACAUUUAGCUAAAGGUUCACAAAAACCCGAACUACCAGACGAUGGUAUUUUGCGCUUAUAUUCCAUGCGGUUUUGCCCAUAUGCUCAUCGUGCUCACCUAGUACUUGACGCCAAAAAUAUACCACAUCAUAGCAUUUAUAUUAAUCUCACUGAGAAACCAGAAUGGCUUACUGACGUCAGCCCACUGGGUAAAGUGCCGGCACUACAGCUACCCAAAGAAGAAGGCAAUCCAGCACUAAUUGAAUCACUGAUAAUUGCUGAGUAUCUUGAUGAGAAAUAUCCCGAGGUACCACUCUUCCCCAAAGAUCCACUCAAGAAAGCACAAGAUAAGAUACUUAUUGAGAGAUUCAACUCGGUGAUUGGCGCAAUGUACAAAGUAUUCUUGGGUGGCAAUGAAGCAGCACCUGGUGCGCUAACUGAGAUCUCGAAAGGUUUAGAUGUUUUCGAAAAAGAGUUGAGCUCGCGUGGUACACCAUACUUUGGUGGCGAGAAACCCGGCAUGUUGGACUACAUGAUUUGGCCAUGGUGCGAGCGUUCGGCAAUGUUGAAAUAUUUGCUACCCGACAAAUAUGAAUUGGAUAAGGAACGUUUUGGCAAGUUGAUUGCAUGGAAGGAUUUGAUGAUCAAUGAUGCCGCCGUAAAGGGAUUCUAUUUGGAUGGUGAAACACAUGCCAAGUUUAUGAAAGCGCGCCGUGAAAAUACUCACGAUUAUGAUAUGCUCGUGUAAGGCAUUUUCAUUGUAUACAUUCAACAAUUUUACAUCGUAGCUGCGUGCUGAAUAUAAUUGUUAAUAUAUAAACCACUGAACUUAACUAAUACUUUGAAGCACGACAUUCCAACAAUCAAAGUUAUAACAUAUUUGAUAACAUUAUUUUCUUGUAUACAUACUAAAAACUUAUGUAUAAGUUAAACGAUGCUAAAAGGCAAAGAACUUGUUGAGGCUAAAAAGACGUUUUAAUUGGUUGUGGGAGUAUUAAAUUACUGUUUCGAUUUCAUUGUAUUCCAAUUGUCAAUCUCAAAAGUAACGGAAAAUAUCACACCACUUUACAUAUCCAUGUAAAAUUACUUUCAUUCUUAUAUAUCGCAUAUAUUUUUGUACAUAUUCAUUUGAUGAAUUCAAAUACAACGCAUUUGUUUUGUAAUAAAUUUUUGAUAUAUUUUAUUAGCGAUA